rnacentral:rRNA from 1 species
AGAGUUUGAUCCUGGCUCAGAGCGAACGCUGGCGGCAGGCUUAACACAUGCAAGUCGAACGCCAUCUCCGGAUGGAGUGGCAGACGGGUGAGUAACGCGUGGGAACGUACCCUUUGGUUCGGAAUAUUCUCGGGAAACUGGGAGCAAUACCGGAUAAGCCCUACGGGGGAAAGAUUUAUCGCCAAAGGAGCGGCCCGCGUCAGAUUAGGUAGUUGGUGGGGUAAAGGCCUACCAAGCCUACGAUCUGUAGCUGGUCUGAGAGGAUGAUCAGCCACACUGGGACUGAGACACGGCCCAGACUCCUACGGGAGGCAGCAGUGGGGAAUCUUGGACAAUGGGCGCAAGCCUGAUCCAGCCAUGCCGCGUGGAUGAUGAAGGCCUUAGGGUUGUAAAAUCCUUUCAACGGGGACGAUAAUGACGGUACCCGUAGAAGAAGCCCCGGCUGACUUCGUGCCAGCAGCCGCGGUAAUACGAAGGGGGCUAGCGUUGCUCGGAAUUACUGGGCGUAAAGCGCACGUAGGCGGAUAUUUAAGUCGGAGGUGAAAGCCCAGGG